rnacentral:misc_RNA from 1 species
GUUAGAGAAGCAUUGGACCAUCCAGGGUGGCGAGAUGCAAUGAUUGAGGAGAUGACUAUGCUCCAUACAAAUGAGACUUGGUACUUGGUACUUUUACCACUAGAUAAAUCUAUUGUUGGAUGUCGAUGGAUUUUUACAGUUAAGGUGGGUCCUAACGAAAAAAUUGAUAAGCUUAAAGCUCAUCUUGUUGCCAAAGGAUAUACGUAGAUCUUUGGGCUUGACUAUAGUGAUACUUUCUCUCCAGUGGCUAAGAUUGCCUUGGUUCGACUACCCAUUUCAUUAGCUACAAUUAAU